rnacentral:rRNA from 1 species
CUACGGGUCGCACCAGUGAGGAAUAUUGCACAAUGGGGGGAACCCUGAUGCAGCAACGCCGCGUGGAGGAUGACGCAUUUCGGUGUGUAAACUCCUUUUAUAUGUCAAGAAAAUGACGGUAGCAUAUGAAUAAGCACCGGCUAACUCCGUGCCAGCAGCCGCGGUAAUACGGAGGGUGCAAGCGUUACUCGGAAUAACUGGGGUAAAGGACGCGUAGGCGGGUUGGAAAGUCAGGUGUGAAAUCCUACAGCUUAACUGUAGAACUGCACUUGAAACUUCUAAUCUAGAGUAUGGGAGGGGGAGAUGGAAUUAGUGGUGUAGGGGUAAAAUCCGUAGAUAUCACUAGGAAUACCUAAAGCGAAGGCGAUCUCCUGGAACAUUACUGACGCUAAGGCGUGAAAGCGUGGGGAGCAAACAGGAUUAGAUACCCUUGUAGUC